GACGAACGCUGGCGGCGUGCCUAACACAUGCAAGUCGAGCGGGAACCUCAGGAGGGGUAACCCUUCUGAGGGGAGAGCGGCGAACGGGUGAGUAACACGUGGGCAACCUGCCCCGGACACCGGGAUAACCCAGGGAAACCUGAGCUAAUACCGGAUACUCCGGCGCGAUCGCAUGGUCGUGCCGGGAAAGCUCCGACGGUCCGGGAUGGGGCCCGCGGCCUAUCAGCUUGUUGGUGGGGUAACGGCCCACCAAGGCGACGACGGGUAGCUGGUCUGAGAGGACGGCCAGCCACACUGGGACUGAGACACGGCCCAGACUCCUACGGGAGGCAGCAGUGGGGGAUCUUGCGCUAAUGCGCGAAAGCGUGACGCAGCGACGCCGCGU
rnacentral:rRNA from 1 species